AGCCUCGAUGGCAUAGUGGUUAGAGCGUCCGCCUGGAAUGCUGGAGGUCGCGGGUUUGAGCGCCGGCGGUGUUA